GUGAGUCAUCGAAUCUUUGAACGCAUCUUGCGCUCUCUGGUAUUCCGGAGAGCAUGUCUGUUUGAGUGUCGUGAAAUCUUCAACUCUAUCGUUUCUUGUUAAACGAUUGGAAGUUUGGAUCCUGAGUGUUUUUGCUCUUUUCCUUCUCGGAAGACAGCUCGCUCGUAAGACAUGAGUGUCGAACCCUUUAUGGCUCGGUCCGACUCGACGUAAUAGUUUAUUCGUUGAGGAAUCCUCUCUGCACGACAAGUGACGAGAGGAGCCGAACUUUUUGGAGUGGACGCUUCUAAAACCCAUUGUCAUUUCGAUGAUACUUUAGACCUCAAAUCAGGCAGGACUACCCGCUGAACUUAA
rnacentral:rRNA from 1 species